CCGGGAUCAGGGGACGGGGCUCGCUCUCCUCCCGGGCCCGGGCCCCCGACGCAAGAUGGCUGUGUCGCGUCGGCCUCUAAACAAUGUGUGGAGCGCGCAGCUCCUGCACCAGGGCCUGGUGGCUUGUCCUGCCCGCCCGUGGGGGCCGUGUGAUCUGUUUUCGUUUCAGGAAACCGAAAUAUUUAUUGUUGGAUUUAUCCAGGAAGGCUGUUCUGCAUUAGUUAAAUGCAUCAUAUCUUCAAGAAAUGUUAAAUGACAUGGAUGCUUCCAGCCCUGAAGCAUCAGACUCCAGGUUCUUUGGCUUUUGGACUCUUGGAGUUACACCAGUGGUUUCCCAGGAACUCUCCAGCCUUGGGCCACAGACUGAAGUUUGCACUGUCGGCUUCCCUGCUUUUGAGGUUUUGUGACUCAGACUGAGCCAACUGGCUUCCUUGCUCUUCAGGUUGCGGACGGCCUAUCGUGGGACUUUGCCUUGUGAUUGUGUGAGUCAAUUGUCCUUAAUAAACUGCCUUUCAUAUAUACAUCUAUCCUAUUAGUUCUGUCCCUCUGGAGAACUCUGACUGCUGAUACACAUAGCAAGACCCCGUCUCUAAAAAAAAGAGAGAAAGGCACAUUGGAAAAUAGAGAAUAGAUCAAGAAAACAAUCCACUCAUAAUUCCAUUACCCUAUCACUACCACUAGUAGCAUUCCAAAAAGGUUUUCAUUAUUAAUUCAGGUUGGUGCUAUAGUGGGUACACAGGGUCAAGGGGAAGGUACCUGCAAAGUCUAAGUGAAGCAAAGACUAUCCUUUGAGAAUGAAAUUAGGAAAAAUUGUUGAGAUCAGCCCUCUAUAGCAAUGGCCCAAUCUAUGAAACUGAAAUAACUUUGCUGAGACAUUUCAGCUUUCUCAUCUGUAAAAUGGCAAUAAUACUUGAAUUCCCUCCUUUUCAGACUUGUUGUGAGAUUAAAAUAAAAUAAUAAAAAGCAACAAAUUAUAAAGUCAUUAGUAAAUGGAUGUAUCCUACUGUGUCAUGAUUAUCCAAUUUAUUUAAAUGACAUAGGCAAUCAAAUUUCAUAAUUCAGGAUUUAAAAAAUUGUACUUGGGGCCUCUCAAUUCCUUUCCUGUCUGAUUUGGUGAAAUAUAAUAGGUAGGUAGUUGGUAAAUAAGUCUUGUUUCUCACAGGUUGUAUAUAUCUAUCUGGUUGGAAAUAAAAUAAAGAUAUGGCAGACUAAUGCCUAUUUGCACGUGCUUUUAGAACAUCUCUACUGUACUGUAGCACCAUUAGAUGAUUAGUAUUAGUAACUAAUGCUCUGGAAGUAUGAGAAUAAUAAAAUAAUGAUGAAAAC
rnacentral:lncRNA from 1 species